UACGAACUGUGCGAACGUUAUUCGGAAUCACUGGGCUUACAGGGUGCGUAGGCGGCUUGUCAAGUAGGGUGUGAAAGCCCCCGGCUCAACCGGGGAAUGGCGCCCUAAACUGGCGAGCUGGAGUGAGAUAGGGGUGUGUGGAACUUCCGGUGGAGCGGUGAAAUGUGUUGAUAUCGGAAGGAACGCCGGUGGCGAAAGCGACACACUGGAUCUUGUCUGACGCUGAGGCACGAAAGCCAGGGGAGCGAACGGG
rnacentral:rRNA from 1 species